UACGUAGGGAGCAAGCGUUGUCCGGAGUCAUUGGGCGUAAAGCGCGCGUAGGUGGCUUCGUAAGUCCGUUGUGAAAGUCAAAGGCUCAACCUUUGAAAGCCGAUGGAUACUGUGAAGCUAGAGUACGGAAGAGGCGAGUGGAAUUCCUGGUGUAGCGGUGGAAUGCGCAGAUAUCAGGAGGAACACCAAUGGCGAAGGCAGCUCGCUGGGACGUUACUGACGCUGAGGCGCGAAAGCGUGGGGAGCAAACAGG
rnacentral:rRNA from 1 species